rnacentral:misc_RNA from 1 species
GAUCAUUACCGAGUUUACAACUCCCAAACCCUUAUGUGAACCGUACCUAUCGUUGCUUCGGCGGGAACGCCCCGGCGCCCUGCGCCCGGAUCCAGGCGCCCGCCGGAGACCCCAAACUCUUGUGUUUUUUUCAGUAUUCUCUGAGUGGCAAACGCAAAAAUAAAUCAAAACUUUUAACAACGGAUCUCUUGGCUCUGGCAUCGAUGAAGAACGCAGCGAAAUGCGAUAAGUAAUGUGAAUUGCAGAAUUCAGUGAAUCAUCGAAUCUUUGAACGCACAUUGCGCCCGUUAGCAUUCUAGCGGGCAUGCCUGUCCGAGCGUCAUUUCAACCCUCAGGGUCCCCGUUCCGGCGGGGAACCUGGUGUUGGGGAUCGGCCCGCCCCGCGCGGCGCCGUCCCCCAAAUUCAGUGGCGGUCUCGCUGCAGCCUCCCCUGCGUAGUAGUUACAACCUCGCAUCGGAGCUCAGCGCGGCCACGCCGUAAAACCCCCGACUUUCUGAACGUUGACCUCGGAUCAGGUAGGAAUACCCGCUGAACCUAAGCAUAUCA